GACGAACGCUGGCGGCGUGCUUAACACAUGCAAGUCGAACGAAAAGAGGGAAAGAGCUUGCUCUUUCCGGAAUUGAGUGGCAAACGGGUGAGUAACACGUAAACAACCUGCCUUCAGGAUGGGGACAACAGACGGAAACGACUGCUAAUACCGAAUAAGUUCCAAGAGCCGCAUGGCCCAUGGAAGAAAAGGUGGCCUCUACCUGUAAGCUAUCGCCUGAAGAGGGGUUUGCGUCUGAUUAGCUGGUUGGAGGGGUAACGGCCCACCAAGGCGACGAUUAGUAGCCGGUCUGAGAGGAUGAACGGCCACACUGGAACUGAGACACGGUCCAGACUCCUACGGGAGGCAGCAGUGGGGAAUCUUCCGCAAUGGGCGAAAGCCUGACGGAGCAACGCCGCGUGAGUGAUGACGGCCUUCGGGUUGUAAAACUCUGUGAUCCGGGACGAAAAGGCAGAGUGCGAAGAACAAACUGCAUUGACGGUACCGGAAAAGCAAGCCACGGCUAACUACGUG
rnacentral:rRNA from 1 species